rnacentral:rRNA from 1 species
AACGAACGCUGGCGGCAUGCCUAACACAUGCAAGUCGUACGAGACCUUCGGGUCUAGUGGCGCACGGGUGCGUAACGCGUGGGAAUCUGCCCUUAGGUACGGAAUAACUCAGGGAAACUUGAGCUAAUACCGUAUAAUGACUUCGGUCCAAAGAUUUAUCGCCUAAGGAUGAGCCCGCGUCGGAUUAGCUAGUUGGUGAGGUAAAAGCUCACCAAGGCGACGAUCCGUAGCUGGCUUGAGAGGAUGAUCAGCCACACUGGGACUGAGACAC